rnacentral:rRNA from 1 species
GACGAACGCUGGCGGCGUGCUUAACACAUGCAAGUCGAACGGAAAGGCCCUGCUUUUGUGGGUUUCUCGUUUGGCGAACGGGUGAGUAACACGUGUGUAUCCUGCCCUUGUCUUUGUGAUAUCUCCACGAAACUGGGGCUAAUACCGGGUAGGAUCUCCUGCUCCAUGUUGGUGGUUGGAAAGUUUCGGCGGUUGGGGAUGUACUCGAGGCUUAUCCGCUUGUUGGUGGGGUAGUGGCUUACCAAGGCUUUGACGGGUAGCCGGCCUGAGAGGGUGAACGGCGACAUUGGGACUGAGAUACGGACCAGAAGGCUACGGGAGGCAGUAGGGGGGAAUAUGGCACAAUGGGCGGAAGCCUGAGGCAGCAACGCCGCGUGCGGGAUGACGGCCUUCGGGUUGUAAACAGAUGUCGCCGGUGACGAAGCGUGAGUGACGGUAAUGGGUAAAGAAGCACCGGCUAACUACGUG